rnacentral:rRNA from 1 species
UACGUAGGGUGCAAGCGUUGUCCGGAAUUAUUGGGCGUAAAGAGCUCGUAGGCGGUUUGUCGCGUCUGCUGUGAAAACUCAGGGCUUAACCCUGAGCCUGCAGUGGGUACGGGCAGACUAGAGUGUGGUAGGGGAGACUGGAAUUCCGUGGUGAUAGCGGUGAAAUGCGCAGAUAGUCAGGAAGAACACCCGUGGCGAAGGCGGCUCUCUGGGACGUGACU